rnacentral:rRNA from 1 species
GAUGAACGCUAGCGGGAGGCUUAAUACAUGCAAGUCGAACGGUAACAGGGAAUCUUUUCGGAGAAUCUGCUGACGAGUGGCGCACGGGUGAGUAACGCGUACACAAUCUACCUUUCACAGGGGGAUAGCCUCGGGAAACUGAGAAUAAUACCCCAUAGUAUAUGUUUAUCGCAUGAUGAAUAUAUUAAAAUUCCGAUGGUGGAAGAUGAGUGUGCGUUAGAUUAGCUAGUUGGUAGGGUAACGGCCUACCAAGGCGAUGAUCUAUAGGGGGCGUGAGAGCGUGAUCCCCCACACGGGUACUGAGACACGGACCCGACUCCUACGGGAGGCAGCAGUAAGGAAUAUUGGACAAUGGGCGAAAGCCUGAUCCAGCCAUCCCGCGUGCAGGAUGACGGCCCUCUGGGUUGUAAACUGCUUUUGUAUGGGACGAACCGCCUUCAUUUAUGGGGGUUUGACGGUACCAUAAGAAUAAGCAUCGGCUAACUCCG